GAUGAACGCUAGCGAUAGGCUUAACACAUGCAAGUCGAGGGGCAGCAUGGUCUUAGCUUGCUAAGACUGAUGGCGACCGGCGCACGGGUGCGUAACGCGUAUGCAACUUGCCUCACAGAGGGGGAUAACCCGUCGAAAGACGGACUAAUACCGCGUACACUUGGGAUAGGGCAUCCUGACCCAAGGAAAUGAAAUUCGCUGUGAGAUAGGCAUGCGUCCCAUUAGCUAGUUGGUGAGGUAACGGCUCACCAAGGCGACGAUGGGUAGGGGAACUGAGAGGUUGAACCCCCACACUGGUACUGAGACACGGACCAGACUCCUACGGGAGGCAGCAGUGAGGAAUAUUGGUCAAUGGGCGAGAGCCUGAACCAGCCAAGUCGCGUGAAGGAUGACUGUCUUAUGGAUUGUAAACUUCUUUUAUACGGGAAUAACAAGAGUCACGUGUGGCUCCCUGCAUGUACCGUAUGAAUAAGCAUCGGCUAACUCCGUG
rnacentral:rRNA from 1 species